GGAUACAGCAGUGUAUAAAAUACUGUCCUCAUGGAGCUUAUAUUCGAGUGGAGAGACAGGCAAUAAAUGAGAUUGGAAAAGUUAAUUAUAUGAUAUGUUAGGAAAGAGGAUAGAAAUUGUUUGGCAGGUGGGAGAGGUUGAAAUUUUAGAUAGGAUAGAUCUGGAAGUCUCUAUCGAAGAGGGACAAUUAAGACUUGACUUUGCCAUGUAGGCACUGAAGGGCAGUCCAGAUGGAGGGAAGAGCAAGUGCAAAGGCCCUGAAACAGAAAUGUGCCCAGAAUGUUCAAGGACUCACAGAUCUAACUUGGCUGAAGGCAAGGCUUCGGGGUCAAUAAGGAGAGCUGAUUGCAGGACUAUGCAUCACCAUCUGAUUACCUGGGUGUGCUUCAUGCUCUCGUGUGUGUGUGACAUUGUCAUGGAUGCAAUGUUCUCCUCAGAACAUGGAAUUCAACCUGCUGUCCUCUCUCAGUAACAAUAAUGAAGCUUUUAAAGCAUCCCUGAAAGGCUUGGCAACUUGACUCUUUUGCAAAAGUUGGUUCUCAGGAGCUCCUACAGAGUGGAAAAAAAUCCUUGAUCCCAGUCUUAAAGAUAAGAGGGAUUAGCUCCUUGGUGCUUCAUAAGAGUUAUCGUGGAAGGAUUUGCUAAAGGACCAAAGACAACUGCCAACCUCUUCAAAGGCAAUUUUCCUGCAUCAGUGUCACACAGCUGCUCUGGGAAGCAAUGCAGAAGGUUCCCUCCC
rnacentral:lncRNA from 1 species